rnacentral:rRNA from 1 species
GAUGAACGCUAGCUGGAGGCUUAAUACAUGCAAGUCGAGCGGGAUUGGGUAGCAAUACCCAUGAGAGCGGCGCACGGGUGAGUAACGCGUACACGACCUACCUCUGACAGGGGGAUAGCCCUGGGAAACUGGGAUUAAUACCGCAUAUUAUUCUGAAUAAUAAAGGUUUGGAAUGAAAGACUGAGGCGGUCAGAGAUGGGUGUGCGUCUGAUUAGCUAGUUGGUAGGGUAACGGCCUACCAAGGCGAUGAUCAGUAGGGGGCGGUGAGAGCGUGGUCCCCCACCAGGGUACUGAGACACGGACCCGACUCCUAUGGGA